AGCGGGCUUUACAGUGGUUUCUGCUGGAAGUGUCUCAGGACAAAAACGCAAACUAGGAGGUAAAAGAUAAAAAUAAUACUUUAAUUAUAUUUUUAUUUUUUGACUUUCGUUUGAAUUGAAUAUAACGUAAUUUUACAACCUUGUUUAAGGUGAAGAUGAUGAUUCCACAAAUUCAAAACGAAAUAAGGGUUAUGACCCAAACAGUGUGCCAUCGACCUCAACUUACGAGAUUUCUGAUAAAAUGACACCACAUCAUUCAGAAAUAGUAGUUUCUGCUGGAGGAGUCUCAGGACAAAAACGCAAACUAGAAGGUGAAGAUGAUGAUUCCCCAAGUUCAAAGCGAAAUAAGGGUUAUGAUCCAAAGAACGUGCCAUCGACUUCAACAUACGAGAUUUCUGAUAAAAGUACACCAGGCAUAUAAUUACUUGCGGCAAUGACGGAGAUGUUCGAAUAUGGGUUGACAUAAAAGACGACGAUCGUAACUCCCAUUGCGUUGGAGAGAGCGCGACAGCGGUGUGUUUUAAAGACAAGAGGCUGUAUGUGGCUACUGAUAAUCAUGCUGUACAAGCUUACACAUUCCCGGCUUUCGACAAAGACGGUAUUGUCACUAGAUUUACUGCAUCGGUAACACAAAUUAUGACAAGCACUAAAAGUGAGGUGAGUUGCACUACAAAUUUCCUGUGAUUAUUUGAAUUGUAAAGAUCUUUAUAUGUAAACCAGGGA